ensembl:lncRNA
GGCCGUGCCCCAGGACAGCCCCUUUGUGCCGGAGCAGCUCUUCGCCGGGGUUUCCCCGGUCCCACGCGCCGCCGAGGAGCAAUGGCAUCUAUGGUGCUUGUCUGUGUGUGGGAGGACUCAGAGGGAGACCUGAACACCAGCACCUCUUUCUGCUGUUUUUCCACCCUGCACCAUCAGCAAGCUUGAUGGAAGCAGCACAGGGGGACAGAAGUUGCAUAAACAAUCCCUGCACUCAUAUCUCUUGUGGAUGAUGGAUACUUUUGCCCAGAUUUGACAUUUCUUAUUACACACCAGUUGCUUUAUCUUUUCACCUUUGUCAAGAGCACUGGGUAAGUCCUGCCUUUUGCACAUACAGAGCAUAAUUCCUCCUCUAAGGUUCUCUAGCAGCAGUCACAUUUGGAAAACGGGUAUAGCAAAGGGAAGAAGUCCUCCAGAUGCUUGUGUAAGAUUCAAACAGGUACAAGUUUACCUCAUUAAUGCCCCUUUCCCAUCAUUUUGUGAAGCUUUCCAAACACUGACCUUCUAUGCCUGAACAGCUGGGCUAGCUUCUUCACAAGCGUUCUUAUCUUUAGCAGAGUCUGUUGUGACGUGACAAGGAGAAAUAGUUUCAGACCAAAAGAGGGGAGAUUUAGGUUGAAUGUAAGAAAAAUGUGUCUAACAAUAAGAGCAGUGAGGCACUGGCACAGGUUGCCCAGAGAGCUGGUUGAUGCUCUGUCCCUGGAGACACUCAAGGUCAGGCUGGAUGGGGCUCUGAGCACCUGAUGGCACUGUAAGCGUCCCUGUUCAGUGCAGGGGAGAUGGACCAGAUGGCCUUUAAGGGUCCCUUCCAUCUCAAGCCAUUCUGUGAUACUGUCCACACGAGCUACGGUGCUCACAAGCCCAGACAUUUGCUGUACACCUCAGAAGGCAUCUGCACCCUCUUCAUCCAUAAGCGUGGGAUGGAGAAAGUCUCAACCAUCAGAGAAGGAAGAAGGAGCGAUCCACAAAUACUGACGUUCUGCUUCAGGACUAAGAACUACUUAAGAUGCUACUACUCAAGUAUUCUAAGAAAAAACUCCACUUUUCCUCACAGGAUUUGAAAGACUCAGUACAAUUUACAGAGAGUUUUAGAAAUAUGUAGCACUUACCUUUUUUCAGAAAAGUAGGAAAAUUCCAGCAGUCAUAGUCCUCAAACUGUUACUUGGACCAAAAAAAAAGCCCCAGCAAACUGUGAAGAGAAAUUUGCUUAUACAACAGCAAUGACUAUUUCAGAACACCUGGAAAAUCUCAGCAGUUAAUCACUCAAGAUCUGAGGUAAAAUUUUAGCGUAGCAAAGUUUUAGUUUUGUUGAGAUACCAUCUGAACUUCAAGCUUUUUGAGCUCAUCCGUACUACUAGACUACAGUGAUUUUAACUUCCAAAUUGGGAUAGCUUCUGCUAGACUUAAUGCCCAGAACAGCUGGCUUGGCAGGAGAAAAGCCUCAAAGGCCCUUCAUAUUCUGAGGCAUGAGUACUUAGGGAGGUUCAAAUAAGCAAAAAUGUAAUGCUUCUGCACACAAGAGAAGAGGCACCAGCAAAAUUAGCAAAUUUGUGCUUUCAGAACCACCAUAUCAAAUCUGCAGAGACUGCAUCUACAGCCUAACUUGCAAGUGAGUAAGUGAGUCAGUGUAGCAAGCCGCAUUUUGCUGUCCAGUUUACUGCUUGAAUUUCAGAAAUGGGGGCAUCUCCAUAAACGUUUCAGGAUCUGCUGAAUUUCUUUUGUAAUGUUUGAAUAAGAAGCAGUUUCAAAGCGUGAAAAAGGCUCAACACUCUUAAGAAAUGAAUCUCCUCCUAACUUUCUGUGAGUUCAGAUUUGUCUGACUUGCAGAAAUAGGAAUGGGGAGAGAAAUAGGAACAGGAAUAGGAAUAGGAAUAGGAAUAUUUUUCCUAUACAAAGAUGUAUCAAUGUGGCUAAAAUGGUAACACUGCUUUUUAUAUAUUCUUGUAUCUAUUCACAGUAAUUUAGCUUAUCUGCCUUAUCUUGCUGAAUUAGGUUUUAUUUUCUACUUCCUAAUCAAACUCUGCCAGGUUUUCCUUGGUAUAACUGUGUGAGUUUUCAUUUUUCCAUAGGUUUUAUCAUUAUUGUACAAACAUGUCAAGCUGCACUUCCUCUUUGUGGAAUCAUACAAUAUUCCCACUCAACAGGAUCCUAUUCUAUUACUGAAAGCUGGACACUCCUUUCCAUCACUUAGCUUGUUUUUGAAUACUGGUUUUAAAUGUGCAUUACACUUUUGGAUGAUGAACAUCUAUUGUGUCAAACAACAGAAAGUAGCUCACGAAUUCCAAAGUAUCAACAAAAUUUUAAAGUGGAGGGACUCAGUCUUGUGGCUUACACCUCCCAUUGUUUGCAUUUUGGUGUUGUUUGCUUGAUUGAAUUUGUUCUGUAAUUGCGUCUCGAGUUACAGUCCACCCAUGUCUAGUCGUUCUGUUUAUGAAAUUCACAAAUGUAUCCCAAGACCUUUUCAUUCUUGAGAAGAAACACAAGCAACAGCUUUUCUACAUACAUUUUUGUGGUCUCCUAGGGCAAACCUAGGGAUGUGUUCGCACAUUCUAAGUUGUAUGAAUCUGUACUGCAAGAUCUGCACUAAAACUGAGGGCUGCAGACAAAUAAUGACAGGAGCCCUGUCCGGGCUCUGACUUGAGGCUAACUAUGCUGAGCGGGACACAGAAAAAUAUUGGACAUGACAUAAGAAAAUUGCUGAACAUCACAAAUAAUAUCAGGACACACUGAUGAAAGUUAUAGCAAGUGCCAGGCAGAAUGGCUGUAUCUUGCACGUGGCUAAGGGCAGGCUGGAUGAGACACGGCCAAACUCCGGAGAUAACAGGGAGAGAACUGGGAGCCUUUCAGGAAGUACAGUCUGAAAAGCCUCAACCCAGAUGAAGACUGGCUAGGUAAGUGUCAGAAAUAACAAGUUUGAUGUCUGUGGGUAAAAAUAAAGUAGAGAUGGAUUGUUUAUUUUGGAAAAGACAGCGGUGGACAAAAGAGGGCGCAUGGCUGGUGGAAAGCGGAGAGGGGAAUUGGGAAAAGUUGUAGAAAGGCACGCAGGCCAUGUGAGUGGGACUGCGUGGGGAACAGCCCAGCACUUGAUGACUGCAGCUUGAGUAGGACUAUGAACAAAACCCAUAAAUUCACCUUUACCACAUAAACAGGGUCAGCUCUCGGCCUCAGGAGAACUGGGUGGGACCUCUACAGGAAGAUCGCUGCCAUCAUUUCAAACAGUGGACAACAGAGGGCGUGAUCUCCCCUGCCCUCUUUUCCAAACAGAAGAUUUCUGCUCUUGUGUCUAUUUUCCCUCUCACGGGUACACAGCAGAUCUCAAAGACAAGUACAGUGCCUCCCAGAAACUAUCAUAUCAAAUGCCAAGGUGAAUUUGUUUCCGUGUGCUCAGCCUAACAACAAGAUUCACAUGCAAUAUUGCAGUGCCUGAAGACUAAAACCAAUUUGGAGUUUAUGGGACAGCUCUAUAGAAAGGAAGUUAUUAAGAAGGGAUGUAAUUAUUGAGCUUAAUUACACUGUCAUCUGGCAUUUUUGUUAAAGUCAAACUACAUCUGUAUGCAGCGGCUGAGAAUCGGGUUCAGAAGCCGUAAUGACUAUUUUGGUGGACCAGAAAACUGGGACCUGAAGUAAUCUGGCAGUUGGAUAAUGCUUACAUCAAAGAGGCUGUGUAGCUCUACUGAUGUCAGGCACACAAAUACAGUCAGGGUCACUGCUUCAUUUUACAAGGCUCAGUAUUAACCUGCUCAUACUUCUGGUGAAGCAGAUUUCCCAUCGUGCAAGAGUGAAGCUCCAGAAAGGCUGUAUGCCUGACAAUUGGGAAUGCAGCCUGAACAAUAACUUCUUUUAAAGGCACUGCUUGAGAAUAACCUCAUUCUGUCAGCGAGUACUCAUCAUGACACAAGAGCAGAAAAGCCAGCUUCGGUGCUUCCUUCCUGUUUUGUGAAGUUAUCUAUGGCUGAUGACUGAACUGGCACUCCUUUAUUUAUUUAUUUUUUUUUUUUCAUUAAAAACAUUGCAAGAAAGCAAAGGGACAGAAUAGAAGUUCUUAUACACCAUUACUACUAAGUGCAUUGCUACCUGCAGCUGUGAUACCUAGAUUUAGGAGGCUUCCAUUACAGCCUUGUGCUGCAUCACUUCAAUUCAGUCACAGAGCCACUCAACAUCCAGUCUUGGUCAGACUAGGAACCAGGUACACAGAUAUUUCCUGGAUGGACAGAGCAAUGCACUGAAUCCUCACAACGCAGGGAUCACACUGGACUGCCCAUAAUCAUGAAAACUGCAUGAGGGAUCUAAUGGAAAUCUAUAGUUGCUGCUUCCUCUUUCCUUAAAAGAGAAAUGUGCAUCUUUGGUGGAGAAAAAAUAAAACACAGAGUAUAUUUUUUGCUUUUCAGUAUUAGUUCUUCUGUAGAAAUGAGAGGCAACAGAAGGCAUUGUCCAACAAGACAGAUGCCUGCUUUGUUUGAUCAUAUGCCAUAGAGGAGGACAAUAAAUGGCUUUGACUCUGAA